CCUCAAAACAAAUCACCAUUCACCAAACAUACAAAAACAAUCGCAUGACUGAGAUUUCUUUCAGAAAAUUUGUAAUUUACUUAAAGACUUCUGAUUGAUUGCUAUGUAAAAGCACUUAAUUUUCUUCAUUUUUUUUUUCAAUUUUUUGUUUAUAAUUAAAAUGCAUUUAUAAGGUAGAUUAAUUUUUGCUUACAUAAUUUUGACAUUAUUCAUAGUUAAAAUUGACAUGACCGGAAUCAGAUAAUUUAUGUGAAUAUCUGCCAAAAAAUAAUUUUGAAUCCCACACACACCUUUUGGUGUAAAUAAUUUAUGGUCAUCAUCAGUUUCAGCACAGAGGGGACAAUAAAAAAAACAAACAGAGCACCCAGACAGGCCCUCUUUUGACGACAACGCAACGGCUGGGAAUAUUAUUCUCAUUUGCAUAAAUACUCAAUUAAAUCACAAAUGUAAUUCAUUUAAUUUUAUACCUCGUACCCCACUUUUUUUGCUGCCCAUUUUCCUCUUCCUUCUUCCAGAAACAAUAAAUAAAAGAAUCACUUUCAAUUUAACAUCAAACAGAGAGCUGGGGACCGAAACGGAGACAUGAACAGGAAGAGGAAAAUACAUACAUAUAUAAAGCUCCCUCACAUUUAAAAGCAAAAAAAAAAACGAGAGAGACUUACAAAUUACAAAAAUAUUAUGCUAGGCAAACUCCUCAACUCAACUUAUCAUCGUCUUUUUGCUUCAAUUCAACAUUAUUUCUCUUUCGAUGAACAAGGCUGGACUUAUAUCAGGACUCCUACCGAAAUAAUUGCAAAUUGGUUUUAAAACGGUUGCAAGAUGGUUUCAAAUCGAUUGCUUCCAAAAAAUUUCUCAGUUAUGUUUAAAUUGAAGAAGUUAGUUCAGAAUCAAUGCGAAAAUUUCAGCUAAACAAAUUGCAAUUAAGUUUCAAAUCGAUUGCAAAUUGGUUAUUAAUUGGUUGAAAAUUAGUUUCAAAACGUCAUACAUAAAUAUCGUUUUCAUAAUAAUGAUUGUCAUAAAAAUUUUGAGCUAUAUACAAAUUUUAUAAGUCUCUAGCUUCUCAGAAUAACACUUAAUUACAAAAACUCCACGAUAAAAUUGCAUACAAGUUUGAUAUCGAUU